GAUGAACGCUAGCGGCAGGCUUAACACAUGCAAGUCGAGGGGUAUGCCGAUUUAUCGGCAGAGACCGGCGCACGGGUGCGUAACGCGUAUGCAAUCUACCUUUCACAGAGGGAUAGCCCAGAGAAAUUUGGAUUAAUACCUCAUAGUAUAGCAGUUUCGCAUGAAACCACUAUUAAAGUUCCAACGGUGAAAGAUGAGCAUGCGUCCCAUUAGCUAGAUGGUAAGGUAACGGCUUACCAUGGCUACGAUGGGUAGGGGUCCUGAGAGGGAGAUCCCCCCANACUGGUACUGAGACACGGACCAGACUCCUACGGGAGGCAGCAGUGAGGAAUAUUGGUCAAUGGACGCAAGUCUGAACCAGCCAUGCCGCGUGCAGGAUGACGGUCCUAUGGAUUGUAAACUGCUUUUGUACGGUAACGAAACGGUGAGCUCUAAUACAGUUUGCUAAUGACGGUACC
rnacentral:rRNA from 1 species